rnacentral:rRNA from 1 species
AUUGAACGCUGGCGGCAGGCCUAACACAUGCAAGUCGAGCGAGCGGCGGACGGGUGAGUAAUGUAUGGGGACUGCCCGAUAGAGGGGGAUAACUACUGGAUACGGUAGCUAAUACCGCAUACUAUCGGAUAACCCAUAUGGGAUUAGCUAGUAGGUGAGGUAAUGGCUCACCUAGGCGACGUUCCCUAGCUGGUCUGAGAGGAUGCUCAGCCACACUGGGCAUGAGACACGGCCCAGAAUCGUACGGAGGCAGCAGUGGGGAAUAUUGCACAAGGGGCGCAAGCCUGAUGCAGCCAUGUGGCGUGUAUGAAGAAGGCCCUAGGGUUGUAAAGUACUUUCAGUCGGGAGGCGUUACCGACAGAAGAAGCACCGGCAAACUCCGUGCCAGCAGCCGCGGUAAUUG